rnacentral:tRNA from 1 species
UCCCGAGUAGUUCAAUUGGUAGAACACAGGCCUUUGAAGCCUGGCGUUGUUGGUUCGAGUCCAACCUCGGGAG